rnacentral:rRNA from 1 species
CCUGGUAGUCCACGCCGUAAACGAUGAUAACUAGCUGUCCGGGUUCAUGGAAUUUGGGUGGCGCAGCUAACGCAUUAAGUUAUCCGCCUGGGGAGUACGGUCGCAAGAUUAAAACUCAAAGGAAUUGACGGGGGCCUGCACAAGCGGUGGAGCAUGUGGUUUAAUUCGAAGCAACGCGCAGACCUUACCAGCGUUUUGACAUCCCGAUCGCGGAUUUGAGAGAUCAUUUCCUUCAGUUUGGCUGGAUCGG